rnacentral:rRNA from 1 species
UACGGAGGGGGCAAGCGUUGUUCGGAAUUACUGGGCGUAAAGGGCGCGCAGGCGGCUGCUCAAGUCAGGCGUGAAAGGCCUGGGCUCAACCCGGGAAUUGCGCUUGAGACUGGGCUGGCUUGAGUGCGGGAGAGGAUGGUGGAAUUCCCAGUGUAGAGGUGAAAUGCGUAGAUAUCUGGAGGAACACCGGUGGCGAAGGCGGCAUCCUGGACCAACACUGACGCUGAGGAGCGAAAGCCAGGGGAGCAAACGGG